AUUGAACGCUGGCGGCAGGCCUAACACAUGCAAGUCGAGCGGAGCGGCGGACGGGUGAGUAAUGCCUAGGAAUCUGCCUGGUAGUGGGGGCUAACGUCCGGAAACGGGCGCUAAUACCGCAUACUAUCAGAUGAGCCUAGUUCGGAUUAGCUAGUUGGUGGGGUAAAGGCCUACCAAGGCGACGAUCCGUAACUGUCCUGAGAGGAGGAUCAGUCACACUGGAACUGGAGAACGGUCCAGACCCUUCCGGGAGGCAGCGUGGGGGAAUUUUGGACAAGGGGCGAAAGCCUGGUUCAGCCCUGCCGCGGGUGUGAAGAAGGUCUUCGGGUUGUAAAGGACUUUUAGUUGGGAGGCGUUACCAACAGAAUAAGCACCGGCUAACUUCGUGCCAGCAGCCGCGGUAAUAC
rnacentral:rRNA from 1 species